AGAGCGAGAUCCUGUCAAAUUAGGCAGCCUUCUAAAGCAAUUUAGAAGUGAAAAUCAGGCUAAUUCGGGGAACACCCACUAAAAAUGGGUCAAUCCCGAGCUAAAUCACAAAGGUGUAAAUGUGUAGAGACUAUAUACCUGACGCCCUUUUGGGGUGAUGAGAUAGUCCAAUCCUUUUGGUAACAGAAGG
rnacentral:ncRNA from 1 species